UCCACGCUGCCGCUUCUUCACCAUCUUUUUUCAGUUUAAGUCUAUAUAUAGCUCAGUAGCAGUUUAUUUAUUAAUUAGAGAGAAUAUGAGUAGUGAUGAAGGGAAAAGCUUGUGAAAUUUUGUAGGAAGUGGAAAGGGGAUGGAUGUUUAGGGGAGCUUUAGGAGUAGGUGGGUUGGAAAGAUAUCAUAUAUUAAUGUUUUAAUAAUAUAAAUUGAAUUCUUUCCUAUGCCACCCAUUCCUGUGGCUUCCCAUCAUUUCUCUCUUUCCUUUUUCUGCAGUUGCUAAAUCACUUGCAUUAUUUGUUUUGUGGUAAGUCAUGUUCUCUUUGAAUGUUUCCUUCCCGGUGUGGACGAGCUUAUUUGAAAUGUCAUAGUGCAACUGAGAAAUGCAGAGGCAAGAUGGUCUAAGCUCUUAUUAGAUUUUUCUGUCCUCAGAAAAGAUGGAAUAACACCAAUUUCCUUAAUGUGGUAAUCUCCAGUGGUCUAUCUUUUUUCUUCUGGCAUCUGAUUACAAAGCUCUAUGAGCGAACACUCUUUUUUCUCAUGUAACCCAAAGAAAAGACUGUUCUAUAUCUUGUUGAAUGAAUGAAACUCAUGGACCAAGAAGUUUUUCUCAUGUAAAAGGGACUACUAGUAAACAUUGGGCUGGGUGAUGGCAAUAGACAGGGGCGUAUCUAGAGUACAGCAUAUGGGUUCGCGGGAAUCUAGUAACUUUUGCGUACAUGUAUUUUUAUUAAAAAAUUUACUAAAUAUUUAACUGGGAACUCAGUUAGUAUUGUAUAUUAAUGUGAGAUUGCAAUAAAAACUCAAAAAUUUUAAAUCA